rnacentral:lncRNA from 1 species
GGAUUGCAUCUGGAAAUGGGAUAGGGUUGAAGUUCUAAUAAGACUUUCUUCUUUUUUUCUUCCAGAGAAGACUGUUUCUGAUCAUGAAGGGCACAUGGCUUUGAUGUGAGAAAAUGUCAAGAGGUCCUAGAUUGGACAUGCAGAGCAGGGACUGGACUUCCACACUGCUGAGCUGCCCUUGCAUGCCAGUCUGCUAGAGCCAAAUCUGCAAAGCGAUGUCCAUUUUCCUGCUCUGCUCAGGACUUGGGUGACGUAAGUGGCAGAGUGGAGUCCUUUGCAGAUCACACAGGAAGCUAUUGCCUACUCUGUGAUUGUGUCAUUUUGUGCAAGACAAGCCAUUGACCUGUCUUGGAUUCUUCCUUGAUUCUGAGAAUUGUAGAAAGCAAAGUCUUUCAGGAAAAAGAGGAGAGAUGCAAAGGGGUUGGAACUGCUGAUCUCUAGAGUUCUUCCUGGACGUCUAAAGAGUGGCCCCAGAUGCUCUUUCACAACCCAGUAUGCGGGGGACCGCAUUGAGCAACGUGAGCAAAGCCCAUUGCCCUUUCAACAUUUCCUCUGUAUCUCUGCCUUUACGAGACCCUUUCCUUUCUGGCACGUCCACACCAUUCAUCUAGUAAGUGAACAACAGUGA